rnacentral:tRNA from 1 species
UGUGGCUCAGUGAUAGAGCACUUGCCUUGCAUGUGUGAGGCACUGGGUUCAAUUCUCAGCA